rnacentral:rRNA from 1 species
UUCCGGUUGAUCCUGCCGGACCUGACUGCUAUCGGAUUGAUACUAAGCCAUGCGAGUCAUUGUAGCAAUACAAGGCAGACGGCUCAGUAACGCGUAGUCAACCGAACCUAUGGACGGGAAUAACCUCGGGAAACUGAGAAUAAUGCCCGAUAGAACACUAUACCUGGAAUGGUUUGUGUUCCAAAUGAUUUAUCGCCGUAGGAUGGGACUGCGGCCUAUCAGUUUGUUGGUGAGGUAAUGGCCCACCAAGACUAUUACAGGUACGGGCUCUGAGAGGAGUAGCCCGGAGAUGGGUACUGAGACACGGACCCAGGCCCUAUGGGGCGCAGCAGGCGAGAAAACUUUGCAAUGUGCGAAAGCACGACAAGGUUAAUCCGAGUGAUUUGUGCUAAACGAAUCUUUUGUUAGUCCUAGAACCACUAACGAAUAAGGGGUGGGCAAGUUCUGGUGUCAGCCGCCGCGAUAAAACCAGCACCUCAGGUGGUCAGGAUGAUUAUUGGCCCUAAAGCAUCCGUAGCCGGCUCUGUAAGUUUUCGGUUAAAUCUGUACGCUUAAC